AUUGAACGCUGGCGGCAGGCCUAACACAUGCAAGUCGAACGGUAGCACAGAGAGCUUGCUCUCGGGUGACGAGUGGCGGACGGGUGAGUAAUGUCUGGGAAACUGCCCGAUGGAGGGGGAUAACUACUGGAAACGGUAGCUAAAACCGCAUAACGUCGCAAGACCAAAGUGGGGGACCUUCGGGCCUCACACCAUCGGAUGUGCCCAGAUGGGAUUAGCUAGUAGGUGGGGUAAUGGCUCACCUAGGCGACGAUCCCUAGCUGGUCUGAGAGGAUGACCAGCCACACUGGAACUGAGACACGGUCCAGACUCCUACGGGAGGCAGCAGUGGGGAAUAUUGCACAAUGGGCGCAAGCCUGAUGCAGCCAUGCCGCGUGUAUGAGGAAGGCCUUCGGGUUGUAAAGUACUUUCAGCGGGGAGGAAGGCGGUGAAGUUACUAGCUUCACCGAUUGACGUUACCCGCAGAAGAAGCACCGGCUAACUCCGUGCCAGCAGCCGCAGUAA
rnacentral:rRNA from 1 species